rnacentral:rRNA from 1 species
CCUGAGAAACCCAAAAGAUCGAAUGGGGAGAUUCAUCGUCAGCGAUCCAGGCACGUGUGCGGUUCGUGAUGUCGGGGACUUCGGUCUCAUGUCACACGUCCGUAUGGUUUUUUGCCGGGUGUCGUCGGCGUGCACUUCUCCCCUAGUAGGACGUCGCGACCCGUUGGGUGUCGGUCUACGGCCCGGGUGGGCGCCUGUCAUGUGUUACGCUUUACGGCGUCAUGUGGCAGACCCCCGGUUGUCUGACCAGCUGCUCGGCGGUACUCGCACGGUAUCGAGUCGCAAAUAUUCGAACUGCGUCCGGCCCGCCGCAAGCGAGGCCAGUGUUUCCCGGAUGUACGGACCUAGCGCCGUCACCGGGCCUGGCCAGCUGUUGGUUGGUGGUGUCCUGGGACUGGCUCUAAAUUAUGAUACCGGUCGGCGACGCUACUGCUUUGGGUACUUUCAGGACCCGUCUUGAAACACGGACCAAGGAGUCUAACAUGUGCGCGAGUCAUUGGGAGCUAAUAAGCCUAA